rnacentral:rRNA from 1 species
GAUGAACGCUAGCGGCAGGCUUAAUACAUGCAAGUCGAGGGGCAGCAUGACUGUAGCAAUACAGUUGAUGGCGACCGGCAAACGGGUGCGGAACACGUACAGAACCUUCCUUCGAGCGGGGAAUAGCCCAGAGAAAUUUGGAUUAAUACCCCAUAGUAUUACGGAGUGGCAUCACUUUGUAAUUAAAGAUUUAUCACUUGAAGAUGGCUGUGCGUCUGAUUAGGUAGUUGGCGGGGUAACGGCCCACCAAGCCUGCGAUCAGUAACUGGUGUGAGAGCACGACCAGUCACACGGGCACUGAGACACGGGCCCGACUCCUACGGGAGGCAGCAGUAAGGAAUAUUGGUCAAUGGACGAAAGUCUGAACCAGCCAUGCCGCGUGGAGGAUGAAGGUCCUCUGGAUUGUAAACUUCUUUUAUAUGGGACGAAAAAGGGUCUUUCUAGAUCAACUGACGGUACCAUAUGAAUAAGCACCGGCUAACUCCGUGCCAGCCGCCGCGGUAACAC